AUCCAGACGACGAAUCCAUAAAUAGGACGAAACGCGUGUCCUAUAU
rnacentral:hammerhead_ribozyme from 1 species